rnacentral:rRNA from 1 species
GGCAACCCCGGAGAAUGGCGAACGGGUGAGUAACGCGUAGAUGAUCUGCCUUUUGGUUGGGGAUAGCCUGUGGAAACACAGGGUAAUACCGAAUAAGGUUCGAGGACCUNNNUCCUAGAAAGAAAGGGGCGUAUGCCUCGCCAGAAGAUGAGUCUGCGUCUGAUUAGCUAGUUGGUGGGGUAAAGGCCUACCAAGGCGACGAUCAGUAGCCGGCCUGAGAGGGUGUACGGCCACACUGGAACUGAGAGACGGUCCAGACUCCUACGGGAGGCAGCAGCUAAGAAUCUUCCGCAAUGGGGGCAACCCUGACGGAGCGAUGCCGCGUGAUCGAAGAAGGUCGAGAGAUUGUAAAGAUCUUUUCUGGGUGAGGAAUAAGUGUGGUAGGAAAUGACUGCAUGAUGACGUUAACCCAGGAAUAAGCCCCGGCCAAUUACGUGCCAGCAGCCGCGGUAACACGUAAGGGGCGAGCGUUGUUCGGAAUUAUUGGGCGUAAAGGGCGUGCAGGUGGUCAUGUAAGUCUGUUGUGAAAUCCCGGGGCUUAACUCCGGAGGCGCGAUGGAAACUGUGUGACUAGAAUCUUGGAGGGGGAGUUGGAAUUCCUAGUGUAGGGGUGAAAUCUGUUGAUAUUAGGAAGAACACCGGUGGCGAAGGCGAACUCCUGGCCGAAGAUUGACGCUGAGGCGCGAAAGCGUAGGUAGCAAACAGGAUUAGAUACCCUGGUAGUCUACGCUGUAAACGAUGUACACUNNGUGUUGGCCUGUUUAGGGUCAGUGCCGNNNCUAACGCGAUAAGUGUNNNNNNUGGGGAGUAUGCCCGCAAGGGUGAAACUNNNNNNNAUUGGCGGGGG